ACACAUGCAAGUCGAGGGGCAGCAUGGUCUUAGCUUGCUAAGGCUGAUGGCGACCGGCGCACGGGUGAGUAACACGUAUCCAACCUGCCGUCUACUCUUGGCCAGCCUUCUGAAAGGAAGAUUAAUCCAGGAUGGGAUCAUGAGUUCACAUGUCCGCAUGAUUAAAGGUAUUUUCCGGUAGACGAUGGGGAUGCGUUCCAUUAGAUAGUAGGCGGGGUAACGGCCCACCUAGUCAACGAUGGAUAGGGGUUCUGAGAGGAAGGUCCCCCACAUUGGAACUGAGACACGGUCCAAACUCCUACGGGAGGCAGCAGUGAGGAAUAUUGGUCAAUGGGCGAUGGCCUGAACCAGCCAAGUAGCGUGAAGGAUGACUGCCCUAUGGGUUGUAAACUUCUUUUAUAAAGGAAUAAAGUCGGGUAUGCAUACCCGUUUGCAUGUACUUUAUGAAUAAGGAUCGGCUAACUCCGUGCCAGCAGCCGCGGUAAUACGGAGGAUCCGAGCGUUAUCCGGAUUUAUUGGGUUUAAAGGGAGCGUAGAUGGAUGUUUAAGUCAGUUGUGAAAGUUUGCGGCUCAACCGUAAAAUUGCAGUUGAUACUGGAUGUCUUGAGUGCAGUUGAGGCAGGCGGAAUUCGUGGUGUAGCGGUGAAAUGCUUAGAUAUCACGAAGAACUCCGAUUGCGAAGGCAGCCUGCUAAGCUGCAACUGACAUUGAGGCUCGAAAGUGUGGGU
rnacentral:rRNA from 1 species